GUUUUGAGAAACUGCAACAUUUCUGGUGAAAUCCCGAAAUAUAUUUGAAAAAUGAUGAAUCUGCAAAUGUUGUGGAUUCUGUAGUUUACCUUGUUGACGCGUACGACAAAGAGAGAUUUGCAGAGGCCAAAAAGGAGCUGGAUGCCCUACAUAAAAAAGAACAACAAUACUCAACAAUACUAAACCUUCUUAACACCAGAUGUUCUUUUUUUUUUAAAAUUGAUGCUGAUUAUGUUAAAUUUUUGUUGGAAUGAAUUGUUUUUUAUUUUUUGGGGUUUAGAAUAGGGUUUUGUGAAUUGUUCCUUGUUUUUGGAAUCAAAGUUGCUACUGCUGAGUUAUGUGUUGAAACUUGGAUAUAGAAAAUUUUAUAAUAAGACCUGUUUUGAU